ensembl:snoRNA Gm25617 predicted gene, 25617
CCUGCCCCUAGAGGCACUGCAGGUGUGGCUGCUGUGUCACAUGUGCGUCAGUAGGUGGCAGAGAGGAAAGAGGCUAUGUCUACGCUCAGUGUUCUGACCUGUGAACAUUUGAAUGAUUAGUAGCCUAAUAUUC